GAUGAACGCUGGCGGCGUGCCUAAUACAUGCAAGUCGAGCGAACAGACGAGGAGCUUGCUCCUCUGACGUUAGCGGCGGACGGGUGAGUAACACGUGGAUAACCUACCUAUAAGACUGGGAUAACUUCGGGAAACCGGAGCUAAUACCGGAUAACAUGUUGAACCGCAUGGUUUAACAGUGAAAGACGGUCUUGCUGUCACUUAUAGAUGGAUCCGCGCCGCAUUAGCUAGUUGGUAAGGUAACGGCUUACCAAGGCAACGAUGCGUAGCCGACCUGAGAGGGUGAUCGGCCACACUGGAACGGAGACACGGUCCAGACUCCUACGGGAGGCAGCAGUAGGGAAUCUUCCGCAAUGGGCGAAAGCCUGACGGAGCAACGCCGCGUGAGUGAAGAAGGUCUUCGGAUCGUAAAACUCUGUUAUUAGGGAAGAACAAAUGUGUAAGUAACUAUGCACGUCUUGACGGUACCUAAUCAGAAAGCCACGGCUAACUACGUG
rnacentral:rRNA from 1 species